ensembl:lncRNA
CAGGGAAGAGGAAUGGGAACCAGGACCGCCCAGGUAACGCUGUUUCCCAGGUAACGCUGUUUCCCAGGUAACACUGUUUCUUUUCCGCAGAGGUCAGACCCAGAGUCCGAAGGAGAAGGGAUGAAGGAUUGCAUUCAGCCCUCCAUUUCUUGCACCCCACCCGAGAGGCCAGUCCCUCACCCCGGCUGCAGGUCAGGCGGUUUGGGGAGGGGGUUGUUAAAGCCGAGUCUGCCCACCAGCCAGUACGUGUCCUCAGCGCCCUUGCCCUGGAGAGACACAGUGGAGGGGAGACUUAGGUGGACUGGGAUGAGGGAUGAGUGAUCUGUAGGUCUAAGUGGAACCAAGAAACUCCAGGUCCCUAAGGAAGCCCCAAGGAGGGGGCGGGGCCGACCCUGCCUCACCUUCAGCUCGGUGCGACCUCGCAGUUCCAACUGGAAUCCCUGGUCCAGAGCGCAGAGAAUCUGCACAGUGCUCAUGUUCACGUGAAUGCGGGCUCCGCCUCACCUCCCCCAACUCCUUGAGGCCCUGGCACACUCACGCAGCCCAGUGGACUCCAUGCGCGAGGCAGUGUUGACCGUGUCCCCAAACAGGCAGUAUCUCGGCAUGGUGAGGCCCACGACGCCUGCCACGCACGGGCCUGCGGAGAUGCACAAGGGGCUGCUCUUCCUGAGUCUCAUCUGAAUUGGGUGGAAAUGCUGAGGAGGCAGGUCCAGGAGCUCCCAACAUGGCAGGUAUGACCUUAGUGGCCACACCAGCUUCUGAGUCACCAUGACUGCCUUUGAGGAGCCAUUGGCUGGAUCAUGGCUAGGGAAAAUCCUACAGCAGAGAGGAUUCCCAAAUGUGGAAUCACAUCAGGAUUGAACAAUCCAUGACCUUUCCCUAGCUCCUGCCUGGUCUCUCAUCCCCUUGCCUGGAGCCUGGAUGAUCUGACAUGCCUACAUGCCUCCACUGAAAGUGCCUCUUCUCUGCCCAGGGUCUGAGCAUUCCUGAACCACUCUCCCUACUGGAGUAGAACUCAACCUGGCUAGGGGUCAGGCUCACCUCAUAAAGGCCAAUGUUGGAGCUUUCCAGAGACUGGCUGGGGAUGCUGCGAAUGUCUGACAUGCUGCGAGCCGCCAGGCUUGACCGACUGCCCUGGACCACCUAGGGGAGAAUAUGCUCUAGGGUUAGAAUUCUGGAUUGAGGUCAGGCUGACUUUUGUAGACUAAAAGCGGAAAGGAAGGAAUUUCAAUUAGAGAACAUGAUAAUGGCAUAACUCCCCCAAUAGCACAGCACUUUACACACAUAGUCAUAGUCUUGUUGGACCUUCACGUCACCCUAGGAAAGUAGUCAGGACAAAGGCUGUCACCACCAUUGCACAGAUGAGGUUACUCCACAAAGCUAGGACCUGUGGGAAGGGGGCAGAAACCAGGCUUCCCAAUUGGGAGAUUGGGAUGAGAGCUGCUUCAAGAAAGGCAUCAAAUAUACUACAGGGAGAAGACAGCUAGCUGCAGGCUCCCUGUUUUACCCACCUUUCAAAGCUGCCCCCUUGUGGCUGGAGGAAGGUGAUGUCGUCCCAGAGUAAGGAUGAUCUUGUUGGGUCCAGAGACCAUUUGGAUGUGAAGAAGCCGGUGCCUUGUGGGGGAAGAAGGUCAUUCCCACAAAGGAGAUGAAGUUCCAUGAGAAGAGGCCAGCAGGGGAUGGGGUGAAGGGAUGAUAUUAGGUCAGGGAAGAGGAACCGGGCAGCAGCCAUCCCCAAACCAGAUGCCCUCAAGAUCCUUAUUCCCUUUCCCAAGAAAAAUCCCUCCUCUCUUCUACUCUUGAAAGGGCCCAGCUUGCUGUCUUUGCUGCACAAUUUCAUUUCUGGCAGGUGGAGAGAGGCAAGAUCACCACCUAAUUACCUCAUGCCCCUACUCACCUCAUAUAGUGGGCCAGGAAAGCCCCCCUUGAGCCCCAACCCUACCACCAGGAGGAAGCCAAGAAAGAUGAGGCCAGGCUCCACUCCUGAAGAAACAAUGAGAGGAGGAACACUAAGGCCCUUGGUCAGACAAGGCCCAACCUUCUAGGGAGGCAGAUAGUCGUGCCAAAUCCUAGAGGCUGCAGGAAAUGGGGAGGAUGGGAACUAGGGCAGGCUCUAAGGGGAAAGUCCACAGAUUCCUCAAGGGGGAGUUUUCAAAUGUUAAAAGGUUCCCAGAGGGUUUGAGGACCCUGCAAGAGAAGAGUUCUGUGCAAGUCUGGGGUUGGAGGAUCUGCAAAGGCAUGAGAAGAAAUACAGGAC